rnacentral:tRNA from 1 species
GAGGUGUUAGUAAAUCAAUUACAUAGCCCUGUCAGAGCUAAAUCAUAGGUAGGCCCCUAUACACCUCU